AGGACGAACGCUGGCGGCGUGCUUAACACAUGCAAGUCGAGCGGAAAGGCCCUUCGGGGUACUCGAGCGGCGAACGGGUGAGUAACACGUGAGUAAUCUGCCCCUAGCUCUGGGAUAGCUCCGGGAAACCGGGAUUAAUACCGGAUACGACCACCUUAGACAUCUUUUGUGGUGGAAAGAAUUUCGGCUAGGGAUGAGCUCGCGGCCUAUCAGCUUGUGGUGGGUAACGCCUACAAGGCGACGACGGGUA
rnacentral:rRNA from 1 species